ACAGCCAGAACCUUCAGUCUGCCUGUGUUCAUUCUGAAGAAAAAAACUUGAAGCCCAGAGGAUGAAAUGCUUGAUCACUCAUAAUAUUUUCAUCUGGCCAGUUUUAUGGGCCAUUUUGCUACAUCAUCUGUGUGCUCUUUCCAAGCCCAGUAGUGGAGUAAGACAGGGAUGUAUUUAUUUGUUAUGAAAGAAUUGGAUCAUGUAGUUGUGGAAGCUGACAAGUCCCUCAAGAACUGCAGUUGGCAAGCAGGAGGUCCAGGAGAGCCAAUGGGGUAGUUCCAGUCCAAAGGCCCUAAGUUCUGAGAUCUAGGAAGAAAUAAUGUUUCACUGCUACUCCAAAGGGAUGGUUGCAAUAGUAGAGAUGGAACACUGAAGAACUGACUUAGAAAAAUGCAUCCUAUGAGGCCCAAUGAGUAUUAAAGCCUUAGAGAAUAAUACUUCAUACAAGCGGAGCAUCACUGAAUGAGCAGGUCUGCUGGUAUAAGUGAGCCAUACCACGGCGUCUCACAGCAAAACCCCCGUCAGUGGCCUCGCAACAGAAAAAGCAUUUUCUUUGCACCCCAUUCAUCUUCCAUUUAAGCACUCUCCUAUUUCAGGUUGAAACCCUUAUGGGCUGGAUGACUCAACAAACGGAUUUUCAUAUUUUUAUUACUGAAGUGGAACAUGAAAGGGAGAGGGAAGGGAAGGUAUAAAUGUGUGAAAGCCACAGCUAACCAUAUCUCCAUAUUUAACGCCAACAGAAUGACUUUUGUUUUUUUUAAACUGAGGUAAGAUUGGUUGACAACACUGUAUAU